UUUCGCAAACGGAUCUAUUUAUUUCAGAUUAUGUAUGGAGAUAUGUAUUAUGAUGACACAAAAACAGCUGGUCUAUUUUGUUUACCCAUUUCUUUUUCAAUAUAAUAUGUCUAUAGUUAGAUGUAGACAUCUAGAUCUGGAUAACCUUCUUCUACAAAAACCACCCACCUACUCAACAUCAUUUUGAGAUAUGUGUAAGAUUGCAUUAUGUUGCACCAUCUAUUCUAUGCUUCACUUUACACUUAUGUAUGGCUAUCAGUCUCUCUUGGUUUGCAUUAUAACCCAGAAUGUGUAGCAAAGGUGAUUUCUCCAGAACCAGACAUUUUCAAGACCAUGUCUUAUUAGUGAGCUAGAAAGUGUAAUUAUCAUGUCAGUAGUUCUAGCACUAAUCAUUCUUCCUAUGUUCCUGAGUACUCUAUUGGCAUUACCCAUUUUGUUAUUUCCACAUGGUUUAUUUUUCAUUUAAG